AGCCAAGUCUGAUGUCUCCUGAGGUUCCACUGGUUUAGCUGCUGUGGACUCUUCUCGGAAAGUUGCCAUUCCUGAGCGAGAAGUGGAUUUCCUUCUCCGUCUCAGGACCUCAAGGGUGCCUCCUCCACAGACCCUCUCCACUUACUCGUUCAGCACCACCACCACCCCAAUGCCAUCGGGCCGCAGGAAAGCCGAGGUCUUCAAAUGACAGCUGUCAAACAAGCACCUGGAGGUGAAUCCAACUCGCACGGAGCCUUCAGGGAUGAAUUUGCUGGCCAGAAGAGAGAAGACGUUAGCCGAUACCACUGGACAAAGGACAAUUUUGUUUAACUGGCUCAGCUUCCCAAAGAUGCUAUGACACCCCUUGAAGGAUGAGGAACUGAAAAGACGGGUCGAUAAACAGGGCUACCUUACCGUCAGGAUAUUUCUGCUGUAAUAGGU